rnacentral:rRNA from 1 species
ACCCAGCGAACUGAAACAUCUUAGUAGCUGGAGGAAAGGAAAGUAAAAACGACUCCCUAAGUAGCGGCGAGCGAACGGGGAAGAGCCUAAACCAAUGAUUUCGAUUAUUGGGGUUGUGGGACAGCAACGUGGAUCAGGAAUGUUAGUGGAAGUGUUUGAAAGACACGCCAUAGAAGGUGAAAGCCCCGUACACGAAAACUGAACUGACCUAGCUGUAUCCCGAGUAGCACGGAGCACGUGGAAUUCCGUGUGAAUCAGCGAGGACCACCUCGUAAGGCUAAGUACUCCUGUGUGACCGAUAGCGAAACAGUACCGCGAGGGAAAGGUGAAAAGAACCCCGGGAGGGGAGUGAAAUAGAACAUGAAACCGUGAGCCUACAAGCAAUGGGAGCCCUACUAAUAGGGUGACCGUGUGCCUGUUGAAGAAUGAGCCGGCGACUUAUAGGUACUGGCGGGUUAAACCGGAAAUGGUGGAGCCAUAGCGAAAGCGAGUCUGAAUAGGGCGUUUGUCAGUAUUUAUAGACCCGAACCCGGGUGAUCUAACCAUGGCCAGGAUGAAGCUUGGGUGAUACCAAGUGGAGGUCCGAACGGACUGAUGUUGAAAAAUCAGCCGAUGAGCUGUGGUUAGGGGUGAAAUGCCAAUCGAACCCGGAGCUAGCUGGUUCUCCCCGAAAUACGUUGAGGCGUAGCGUCUCGUGCUCCAGCAGGGGGGUAAAGCCACCAUUUCGGUGCGGGCUGCGAGAGCGGUACCAAAUCGAGAUGAACUCUGAAUACCCUGUGUGUAGCGAGGCAGU